rnacentral:rRNA from 1 species
AUUGAACGCUGGCGGCAGGCUUAACACAUGCAAGUCGAGCGGGGGAAGGUAGCUUGCUACCGGACCUAGCGGCGGACGGGUGAGUAAUGCUUAGGAAUCUGCCUAUUAGUGGGGGACAACAUCUCGAAAGGGAUGCUAAUACCGCAUACGUCCUACGGGAGAAAGCAGGGGAUCUUCGGACCUGGCGCUAAUAGAUGAGCCUAAGUCGGGUUAGCUAGUUGGUGGGGUAAAGGCCUACCAAGGCGACGAUCUGUAGCGGGUCUGAGAGGAUGAUCCGCCACACUGGGACUGAGACACGGCCCAGACUCCUACGGGAGGCAGCAGUGGGGAAUAUUGGACAAUGGGGGGAACCCUGAUCCAGCCAUGCCGCGUGUGUGAAGAAGGCCUUAUGGUUGUAAAGCACUUUAAGCGAGGAGGAGGCUACUUUAGUUAAUACCUAGAGAUAGUGGACGUUACUCGCAGAAUAAGCACCGGCUAACUCUGUGCCAGCCGCCGCAGUAACAC